rnacentral:ncRNA from 2 species
AAUAAAUGCAAACUAUAGUCUGCAUUUAAGUAAUAAGGGAAUGAAGUGAAAUUCUUCAACUACCCCAGUAACCGUGAAACUGACGAAAUCAAAGGCAGAAUCAAAAGUAACAAGUCCAAUAUUUUAUUUUUUGAUUAUGUCUAACGUGCCACUGAGAAAUUGGGAAGGCUUGAAAUUAGGAUGAAGUUAAGUCGGGAUACCUUGAUUUUAUACACCGAUAAU